rnacentral:rRNA from 1 species
AUUGAACGCUGGCGGCAGGCCUAACACAUGCAAGUCGAGCGAGCGGCGGACGGGUGAGUAAUGUAUGGGGACUGCUCGAUAGAGGGGGAUACCUACUGGAAACGGUGGCUAAUACCGCAUACUAUCGGAUAACCCAUAUGGGAUUAGCUAGUAGGUGGGGUAAAGGCCCACCUAGGCGACGAUAUCUAGCUGGUCUGAGAGGAUGAUCAGCCACACUGUGACUGAGACACGGCCCAGACUCCUACGGAGGCAGCAGAUGGGAAUAGUGCAAAAUGGAGGCAAGCCUGAUGCAGCCAUGCCGCGUGUAUGAAGAAGGCCGUGAGGUUGUAAAGUACUUUCAGCGGGAAGGAGUUAACCGCAGAAGGAGCACCAGCUAACUCCGUGCCAGCAGCCGCGGUAAUAC